rnacentral:rRNA from 1 species
AUUGAACGCUGGCGGCAGGCUUAACACAUGCAGGUCGAGCGGGGGAAGUUGCUUCGGUAAUUGACCUAGCGGCGGACGGGUGAGUAAUACUUAGGAAUCUGCCUAUUAAUGGGGGACAACGUUUCGAAAGGAACGCUAAUACCGCAUACGUCCUACGGGAGAAAGCAGGGGACCUUCGGGCCUUGCGCUAUCAGAUGAGCCUAGGUCGGAUUAGCUAGUUGGGGAGGUAAUGGCUCACCAAGGCGACGAUCCGUAACUGGUCUGAGAGGAUGAUCAGUCACACUGGAACUGAGACACGGUCCAGACUCCUACGGGAGGCAGCAGUGGGGAAUAUUGGACAAUGGGCGAGAGCCUGAUCCAGCCAUGCCGCGUGUGUGAAGAAGGUCUUCGGAUUGUAAAGCACCUUAAGUUGGGAGGAAGGGUUGUAGAUUAAUACUCUGCAAUUUUGACGUUACCGACAGAAUAAGCACCGGCUAACUCUGUGCCAGCCGCCGCGGUAAUAC